ensembl:lincRNA
CUCCUCCUGGGCCCAGGCCUGCUGGCUGGCACUCACAGGCCACUAUGAGCUGCACGGUCCUCUCCACGGCCACACUGACCCCAGGGAAGGUCACUCUGCAGGUGAGGUUGCUGCCGUGGUGACGAGGCUCUGGGGUGAUGGUGAGCACGGAAGAGCGGGGAGUCUCGGGGCCCAGGGUAGACGUGAGGUUCGCCCCAGUCCAGGAGAAGGCGGGCGGCGUCCCCUGCUCACAAGGCCACGGCACUGCACAGGUUAUGUUCCCAGGGAGGCCAGACUCCAGGGUCCCCGCGAUGUGGACGUCAGGGGUCUCUGUCAGAGCAGAGGAGGAUCGAGACACCGCAGCCCUGGGGGACCCCAAGUGUGGCCCCGAGGGCACCGCUGUCCCGCUGUCAUCGCCCCGGCCGGCCCCUCUGCCCCAGUCCUUCCGCACCCCCGUGAGGAGCAGGGGACCCGUCCCGCCCUGCUCCGCCCCUUGGCCCAUCUUAAGCUCACUCCUCACCCGUCACAAACACACAGAGGUGGUCCCAUCUGUAGUUGUAUUUCACAUCAUACCCUCUCUCCACCCUGAAGAAGUAGACUCCUGUGUCCUCUUUCCUUGCGUCUUUGAUGCGCAGGGAGCAGUUGUAGGACCUGGGGUCUCCGAGGAGGUGGAACCGGCCCUCGGUCUCUUUCAGCGCUUCACGGGAUGGGUGAUUUGUGGCCCCUGGAGGAUCCCGGUCAUAACGAGCCUCCUUCUUGAACCAGGAGCCCCAGGCCGGGGGAAAGUUGCUCCAGAACCUCCAGGGGUAGUAGACUCUGCAGGGUAUGAAGACGCUGUGUCCCUCCUGCACCAGCACGGACUUGGGCGCUGUCAGCUGGUAUCCCGGAGAAUGAGCCAGAGACCCUGCGGGAAAGGAGGGUCAGCUCUGUGCAGCCCCCAAGGCCCCUCGCCCGAGCCCACUCACCUGCCCACCGCAGGGGCGGCGGCAGCAGCAGCAGCAGCAGCAUCCUGGAGACUGACAGCUCCUGAGUGGAGCAGAGACAGAGGGCUGUGCAGGGGAAGCGCAUCUUUGAGAAACCACACAAAUGCCACAGGACAGGACCUGUGCUCUCCUAAGGCCCACACUCAGCCAGGCCUCCGGCACACAACCAACAGGGGACCCAAGGUCCUCCCCUCCUGUCCUCACACACCAGGGGCCCAGGCGUCCUGGCACAGCACGUACCCGUCACGUUGAGCUGGACGGUCCUCUUCACGGUCACACCAGCUCCAGGGAACAACACCUGACAGGUGAGGUUGGUACCGUCGUCCUGGGGCCGGGGGCUGAGGGUGAGCACAGAGGAGUGGGGGGCCCUGGGGCCCAGGGAGCUGAGGGCAGCUGACAUUCCUGGGGCCGGGGGCUGAGGGUGAGCACAGAGGAGUGGGGGGCCCUGGGGCCCAGGGAGCUGAGGGCCUCUGACAUCCAGGAGAAGAUGGGGGGCGUCCCCCGCGCACAGGCCCAGGGCACAGAGCAGGUGAGGUUGCUGGGAUGACCAGACUCCAGGGUCCCCAGGAUGAGGAUGUCAGGGGUGUGGGUCAGGGCUGGGAGGAGAGGGGACACCAGGAUCAGGGGACAGGGCUGAAGGAGCAGCCCUAAGGGAAGCUCAGGCCCUGACCCAGCUCUCCUGAGUCCCUAAUCCUCGAACCCCAGCCCAUCCCAAAUCACGGUCCAUCCCAGCCACCUCCAGAGGCCACCAUGUCUGUCCCUGGGGCCCAGGCCUUACCUGUCACGUUCACAGAGACGGGAUAUGCACAAUAAUUCCAUAGUUCAGUUCCUGUUUCCACCCGAAAGAAAUAUGCACCACUGUCACCUCUCCGAGCGUCUGUGAUGUACAGGGAGCAGUUCCUGGUCUGUGGGUCCAGGAGGAGGCGGAACCGGGCCCGAGUCUGCUUCUGCACCUGUCGCUGUCCAUCGUUUGUGGCCACCGGGGAGUCCUUACUUGUAUCGGCCCCUUCUUGGAACCAGUAGCCAGAGACAGGCCGAGUCCAGGAGUACACACCAGGGUAUGGGAAUGUGCAGGGCACAAGCACACACUGACCCUCCUGCACGGUCACCGACUCCGGCACCUCCAGCUUGUGGUUCCUGCUCUUAACUGGGCACCUUCUGGGUAAAGGCGCAACAGGUCUUCGAGGCUCCCUCUGCCCGGCUCCCUGCGCCCAAUGCCCCACCCACAGCAGCAGCAGGGGCAGCAGCAUCUCAGCUGGAGGCGCCCUGGCUCCGAGAGUGAGCAGAGAAGAGUGUGGAGGGAAGCGCUGCGUGACUGACAGGGCCGAGGAGGGCACAGGCCGGCCGCUGCACAGAAGAGGAACUCAGACGCACAUCCUGCUGCAGCGGCCCUCUCUGCGUAAAGUGCAGAAACCCCAGAGACCCGCCCAGAGACGGGCAAGGAGCAGAGGCCACCUCCUGGCCGCAUCUCGGAAGCGUCCCUUGAGCUCUGGGCUGGCCCAGGACCCCGGGGACAUCUGAGGCGGUGUCACGAGGCAGGAGGAUUAAACUGCCUGACUCUGCCUGGCCCGGCAAACGCACAGCCGUUCCUGGGUCCAUCGGUGGAUGGUGGGGAACGAAGGGCUCUGCACGGUCCGAGUGUGUGGGGCAGAAGAGAGAAGACGGGUCCUAGGCAAAGUGCAGGCGACAGCUGAUGGUUCAUUCGCUCAGCAACAUGCAGUGAGCUGUAAGCAUCCGCAGAGCUGGACAGGAGGAGGGAAGGGACGCCCUGAGCUCAACACAGCCGCCCACGAGGAGCCUCGGACCACGCAUCAUGGUAGGGCAUUGAGUGUCAUCUGAAAGUGAGCAAGAAGCUCUCUCCAGCACCUGGGACAGUGGCUCCAAGGCAUGAGUGACACCUGCAGAGUGAGAGACAGAUUGUCCUCAGGUGACACAGAGAGCAGGAGCUCUGAGCCAAUGCGCAGGAGACGUCUCCUCACGGAGGCUGGGUACUGGUGUCCCCAGGUGGGCUGCUGUCUGUCCCCUGAUUACAGGUGAGCUCUUCUGUAGGGAACAGGGAAAGGGGAUGUUCCCAAAACCUCUGCUUCGUGUCCCAGUCUCCUGCAAGCCGGGACAACACAAGGC